UAACCUCAAAUUAGGUGAGACUACCCGCUAAAUUUAAGCAUAUUAUUAAGCGGAGGAAAAGAAACUAACAAGGAUUUCCAAAGUAGCUGCGAGCGAACUGGAAUAAGCCCAGCACUGAAUUAUUAGUAUUUUAUACUAAUAAAAUGUAGUGUUUAAGAAGGUUUUUAUAUUCAAGAGUACUAUUAUUUGUUCAAGUUUAUCUUGAAAGGGGCCAUAGUCCAUAGAAGGUGCUAGGCCCGUAGAGCAAAUAAGUGCUUUUGAUAAACCAUUUCUUUAGAGUGCAACCUUAAGAGGGUGGUAAGCUCCAUCUAAGGCUAAAUAUAACCACGAGACCGAUAGCAAACAAGUACCGUGAGGGAAAGUUGAAAAGAACUUUGAAGAGAGAGUUCAAAAGUACGUGAAACCGUUUAGGGGUAAACGGAAAAGAAUUGAAAAUCCGAAAAGGGAGAUUCACGUCUUCUCGUUGUUAAAUAUAAUUUUUAUUAGGAUAAUUAAUGGGCCUAUAUCAAUUUGGUAAUGGUUUGUUAAUUGCUUAAUUUAAUUAUAAAUUAGCAAUGGUAGACCGCACUUCUCUCUAAGUAGGACGCCGUGACCCUUUAGCUUAUAAUUUAAGUUUUCAAUUAUUUGUUUUAUUGUGAUUAAAAUACUUAGUUACAAUAAAAAAUUGAUUACUAAUUAAAUAGUUGAAGGUAAAAUACGACAGUGGAGAGCCGCUUACAAAGCGUUUAACAAACUUUUAUUUUUUAAUAAUAGUAAAUAAAGACAAUUACCCUUAUUUAUUAUUUUAAUUAUAUUAGUUUUGUUUAAACUGGCUCACAACACUAGUCAACGGUGCUACAGUUUCAGUAACUUUUCCGACCCGUCGAAACACCCAAGGAGUCUAACAUGUGCGCAAGUCAUUAGGUAAUUAAACCUAAAGGCAUAACGAAAGUAAAGCAAGCUUUGCUUGAGUAAGGAAGAUGGUUAAUAAUUUAUUUAUAACCCGUACUCCUGGGGUGUCUAUUACUCAUUGCGAGUAAAGGCAAACCUAGAGCGUACACGUUGGGACCCGAAAGAUGGUGAACUAUGCCUGGCCAGGAUGAAGCCAGGGGAAACCCUGGUGGAGGUCCGUAGCGAUUCUGACGUGCAAAUCGAUCGUCAGAGCUAGGUAUAGGGGCGAAAGACUUAUCGAACCAUCUAGUAGCUGGUUCCCUCCGAAGUUUCCCUCAGGAUAGCUGGUGCUAAUGAAACUUGAGUCUCAUCCGGUAAAGCGAAUGAUUAGAGGCAUUGGGGCCGAAACGACCUCAACCUAUUCUCAAACUUUAAAUGGAUGAGAGCUUUGGCUUGCUUAAAAAAUGAAGCCAAAGAUUAGGAUCAAAGUACCAAGUGGGCCAAUUUUGGUAAUGUGGGAUGAACCAAACGUAAAGUUAAGGCGCCCGAAUCAACGCUCAUGGGACACCAUAAAAGGCGUUGGUUGCUUAAGACAGCAGGACGGUGGCCAUGGAAGUCGGAAUCCGCUAAGGAGUGUGUAACAACUCACCUGCCGAAGCAACUAGCCCUGAAAAUGGAUGGCGCUGUAGCGUUGUGCCUAUACUUUACCGUCAACAACAAAUAUGGUAAAACAAAUUAAUUUUUGUUAAACUAUUAAGUUUUGACGAGUAGGAGGGUCGUAGCGAUGAGCGCAGAAGGGUCUGGGUGUAAACCUGCCUGGAGCCGUCGCUAGUGCAGAUCUUGGUGGUAGUAGCAAAUACUCCAGCGAGAUCCUGGAGGACUGUUGUGGAGAAGGGUUUCUUGUGAACAGCUGUUGCACAAGAGUCAGUCGAACCUAAGCUCUAGGAGAAAUCCAAUGUUGAUGAGUGCCAUUAAAUUGUUGGCAUUCAUUGAGCGAAAGGGAAUCCGGUCCCUAUUCCGGAACCUGGUAGCGGAACCGUUGUGAAUCGAGCCCUCAUGUGACUCGUCGGGGUGACCCAAAAAGACCUGGAGACGCCGUUGGAAGAUUCAGGGAGAGUUGUCUCUUCUCUAUAAGCGUUCGAGUUCCCUGGAAUCCUCUAGCAGGGAGAUAGGGUUUGGAACGCGAAGAGCACCGCAGUUACGGCGGUGUCUGAAUUUUUCCAUCGGACCUUGAAAAUCCAGGAGAGGGCAACGAGGAACACCGCACCAGAUCGUACCCAUAUCCGCAGCAGGUCUCCAAGGUGAAUAGCCUCUAGUCGAUAGAAUAAUGUAGGUAAGGGAAGUCGGCAAGUUCGAUCCGUAACUUCGGGAUAAGGAUUGGCUCUGAGGAUCGUGGCGAGCUGGGCUUGGUCGGGAAGUGGAGUGGGUCAAUAAGCCGGGCCUGGGCAAGGUAAACAGCACUUGUGUUGGGAAUCUAUGCUCGGUCCCGUGCGUUGGCCUCCCACGGAUCUUCCUUGCUGUGAGCCUUUCAAUUGUCGGUUGUCAGCAUUAGUUGAUAAACGGAUUGUGGGUUUUUUCGGCCGCCAUUCAACGAUCAACUCAGAACUGGCACGGACCAAGGGAAUCCGAC
rnacentral:rRNA from 1 species